UAGAUAAAAAUUAUUUUUUAUACUAUUUAUUUUUAUAGUUAUAAAAUUUAAUUUUUUUUAAAUUUUAUUAUUUAUUUGACAGAAGGUGAAUUAGAUAAUGUUAAAAUUUUUAUUAUUAAUAUUUUAUUAUUUUCUCAUGCCUUUUUUUUUUUUGCAAUUGACUUCUGACAGGAAUACGCCGAAGUCAAUUACGGUAAUUUAGAGAUUUUGAGUUUUGGCAAUAUGUGAAAUUAUUAUGAAUUAAACAAUAAAAAUAAACUUUUAUUGCGGAAAAUUACUUUACCACUCUCUAUGUCACGCCCCGGGGUUCCUUUGAGUUUAAAAGAUAGAGGAAAAGCGUCUGAAUUUUUUUUUUUUUUUUUUUUUGAAAACCUAACCCCAGAGUAUGCUAGACCCGUCACAAAUACAGGGAUUCCACUGUUCACACGGACAGAGUCUCCCCUGUAUUUGCACGGCGUCGCACAAGUACAACAGUACAAACAUGAUACAACCACAACUAAAUGAAUAUAGAAAUCACCAUACAUUCAUACAUUCACCAUUCACAUCACAGGUUUGCAUUCAAUGUCUAAACAUAAAUCCAUAGAAAAUCUUUUGAAAACUGUUCCCUACACAGGAACCUUUAUUCUUUAAAAACGCUACCACGAGGGGUAGAAAACCUUUUAUUUUACAAAAUCCAGAAAUCCACAUUUUCAAAUGUAAAUAAAUACUGAACCACAU
rnacentral:lncRNA from 1 species